rnacentral:misc_RNA from 1 species
GCUCGAACCACCUGGCUAUGCAGGUCACCGGAUCUAUAUUCGGGUAUUGUCAUAGUUCAGGGAAAAUGGCAACAAAACACUAUGAUUAGCAACAUUCACUAAAAGAUACUUACCAGAAACAGAAAACAUGCACGUGCUUGAACCAUGAAGCAUAACUUAGAAGCAAGAGAAAUGGAAACAAUAAGUUGCACUCCUACCCACCUUGAAAGCAAAUAUGAAACCGUGCUGAAUCCAUUCCCACCCAGUAAUGGCAAAAUUGGUCCCGUCUGUUAAAAACAACAUGACAACUGGCUUCUUUCCAUCAAAAUUUUCAACUUUCUUAAACAAAAUGAAUAUUUUCUGGCUUCUAAUGGCUACUUCAAAGUUUUUCUAUUCUUUCGAGCAAUGGCCAAUUCAAAGUUGCUACACUAUAGAAUGUGCAUUUUCUAUAUUAUUACUUAAAAAGAGGAGUUCAUGACAUUUUCCUGUUAAGGGUGUUUCUGUAAGACUCCUUCGUCACCCCAUAAUAAACAGGGCUACUGCCUCCAAAUGUUAUGAAGUUCCAACCAAAAACUGAACCACCAACAAUAUAACUCUUUCGUGUCCGGCGAUCAUCAAGCUUCAUCUGUGAGUUGAAAUUUGUAUGUGUUUUCUGUUCUGCAGGUUGUUCUGAUGGCUUGUUAUGCCGAAGCAACUCUGGUACUUCUCUAUCCUUUUGUCUGUCCCAGGAUUGUUUUACAGGCAUGCUUUUACCUGAGGAAGGCUGACAUUCCAACACAAACUUCUCAAGGGGAUCUAUCUCCAUGGUCAUCUGCUUGCAUGAAUCCAUCACAAGCUUCAUUUGUAUUCGAAGUUCAUGAGCUGCUUUACAAUUCCGAAAGUCAGGUGACUGAAGCACCUGCAUUGAGAAACAUUAUUUAGUUUGCAAAAAGAAAAAAGGCAUAUGUAAGACAUAACAAAGGGGAAAGGAGACCAUUAGGUUGAAUUACUCUAGGAUUCCUAGGGGAUUCCGUUAAAGAAAGCAGCAACAAUUGCAAUGGCUCUUGUUUCGUCAACUUUUAUAUCAAAAGUCAAAACUUUGCAUCAUAGAGUUAGAAGUAAUCAUGUAAUAAAAUAAAGUGCAUGAUAAAUGAUCACCACAGGUAUUAUGCAUACAAAAGUUUUAUAAAACUCAAGAUAACAAAGAUCCAGGGUUAUAUUCAAACCACUGAUCUAUAUGUGCCAUUUAUAAUUUUUUAUCAUUUUUGGAAUCCCUGAGAAUUACAAUAAGGGGAUAAUAAAUCAUAGGUCAGCCCACGGUAAGGUUUAUCAGUUCAAUCUCAUGCAUGCCAAUACUAAUCCCCUAGAUUCAUUGAAAUAAUUGAAAAACUAAAUGCCAUAGUGAAGAUAAUACAACUUCUAGCGAUCCAGCUACCUCUCUGUCCCUAAAUAUUGGGGGCUUUGCAAUGGCCUGGAUGAGCACAUCCUCAACUGCCUUUUCAAGAAAAAUGACGAAUAUUACUUCUUUACGUGCUUUUAAUAUGCCUCUCAUUGCACCCUGUAUUUAUGAUACUCUUCCUGAUAACAUCUGUUUCUCUACAUCUCGCGUUCAUUGCACUUGAUUGGACUACAGAUCUAGAAUUUAGUGUCCAUGCAGGGUUAAACAAAUUGGUACCACUGGUUGCAGUCGUUGGGUUUCACAUGGUGUCAACAUAUUACUUAAUCAUUCAAGUGCUUAACAAUGUACUAUUGAAAUGGAAAUAUACAAAUUCUUAAAUUUAAAAUAUAAGACAAAAUGAUAGAUCAAUAAUAACACGUGAAUGCUUGAAAUAAAGCCAACUUCUUGGUAAAAUAAUUCCCAAAAACAAAACUUAAAUUGUCUAUGCACCUGCUUCAAUCUCACAACCACACUUGCACUUUGCAGCACAGCCACUGCCCAUACCCAUUCAUAAGACUUAAGUUAAAAUAAUACACUAAGAAGCCAAGAAACCAUUUUUAACUGACAAAGACCAAGUUAAGAACAAACCUGAAAAUGGUAAGAUACAGAAGCCCAAAUAAAGGGCACACCUAGGCUCCCCAGUUACCAAGGGUCAAGGGGCAAUCAUUUAGCAAACACAGCCUCUCUUUUAAUAUUUUGCAGAGAGGCUAUUUCCACAAAAAUCUGUGACUUUACAGUCACAAAGGAGCAACCUUAAGGGUUACACCAAGAUUAACCCUCUAUGGAUGCCAAAUAACAUACCAAAAUUCAACUAUCAGCAACAAAAUUUUUAAGUUCUACCAUCAAUAAGAGAAUUAUACUGGCCCAUAUUGUAAAACAUAAUCCAAACUUGGUGAGCUUGCUUUGAAGCUCCAAAAAGCAUGGCCCACCAGUUACAGAAUGCAACAACCGUUCAGCAUACUAAGGUAAUCCAUAACCUCAAAAACUAUCAUGUGAAUUAUAGCUAAUUGAAAUAACACAAUAUUCCAAAUACUAGUGAUUGACAGAUUGUAAUUUGCAUUUAGAGUUAGGAAAAAAAUAGCAACAUAAAUUCUUCUUAGUUGUUUCCUUGAAUGGAUUAAUCAUGGAGCUAUUAUCCAUCAACAACUAGAUCUAAACCCAAAUAAGAAUUCACCAAAACAAGUAGCCACAGGUUCCCAUUUACCCCAAUAAAUUAAACAAAAAUAGACAAUAUAGAAAAAGCAAAAGGAAUCCAGAAGGGAAAAAAUAGUCAUAUCAGUUAUUCUCCAACAACAUUAGCACUUCAUAUCGAUUAAUUAAUAAACACAUAUAAUUUCUUAAUAUUCUGAAAUUAUACAAAAGCGGAGAAUUAGAAGAAAAAGAAGAUAA